rnacentral:tRNA from 1 species
AUUAGCUCAGCCGGCAGAGCACCUGACUUUUAAUCAGGGUGUCCCGGGUUCAAAUCCCGG